rnacentral:rRNA from 1 species
GUAGGGAAUAUUGCGCAAUGGGGGAAACCCUGACGCAGCGACGCCGCGUGAGUGAUGAAGGCCUUCGGGUCGUAAAGCUCUGUUGCAGGGGAAUAAAAAAAUGAAGGUACCCUGUGAGGAAGGAUCGGCUAACUUCGUGCCAGCAGCCGCGGUAAGACGAGGGAUCCUAGCGUUGCUCGGAAUCAUUGGGCGUAAAGAGGGCGUAGGUGGCUUGGUAAGUCAGGUGUGAAAGCCCAGGGCUCAACCCUGGAAGUGCAUUUGAUACUGCUGAGCUUGAGUGUCGGAGAGGUUACCGGAAUACCUGGUGUAGUGGUGAAAUACGUAGAUAUCAGGUGGAACACCGGAGGCGAAGACGGGUAACUGGACGAACACUGACACUGAGGCCCGAAAGCGUGGGGAUCAAACAGGAUUAGAAACCCGAGUAGUCC